rnacentral:rRNA from 1 species
AUGAACACUAGCUACAGGCUUAACACAUGCAAGUCGAGGGGCAGCAUGGUCUUAGCUUGCUAAGGCCGAUGGCGACCGGCGCACGGGUGAGUAACACGUAUCCAACCUGCCGUCUACUCUUGGACAGCCUUCUGAAAGGAAGAUUAAUACAAGAUGGCAUCAUGAGUCCGCAUGUUCACAUGAUUAAAGGUAUUCCGGUAGACGAUGGGGAUGCGUUCCAUUAGAUAGUAGGCGGGGUAACGGCCCACCUAGUCUUCGAUGGAUAGGGGUUCUGAGAGGAAGGUCCCCCACAUUGGAACUGAGACACGGUCCAAACUCCUACGGGAGGCAGCAGUGAGGAAUAUUGGUCAAUGGGCGAGAGCCUGAACCAGCCAAGUAGCGUGAAGGAUGACUGCCCUAUGGGUUGUAAACUUCUUUUAUAAAGGAAUAAAGUCGGGUAUGGAUACCCGUUUGCAUGUACUUUAUGAAUAAGGAUCGGCUAACUCCGUGCCAGCAGCCGCGGUAAUACGGAGGAUCCGAGCGUUAUCCGGAUUUAUUGGGUUUAAAGGGAGCGUAGAUGGAUGUUUAAGUCAGUUGUGAAAGUUUGCGGCUCAACCGUAAAAUUGCAGUUGAUACUGGAUAUCUUGAGUGCAGUUGAGGCAGGCGGAAUUCGUGGUGUAGCGGUGAAAUGCUUAGAUAUCACGAAGAACUCCGAUUGCGAAGGCAGCCUGCUAAGCUGCAACUGACAUUGAGGCUCGAAAGUGUGGGUAUCAAACAGGAUUAGAUACCCUGGUAGUCCACACGGUAAACGAUGAAUACUCGCUGUUUGCGAUAUACUGCAAGCGGCCAAGCGAAAGCGUUAAGUAUUCCACCUGGGGAGUACGCCGGCAACGGUGAAACUCAAAGGAAUUGACGGGGGCCCGCACAAGCGGAGGAACAUGUGGUUUAAUUCGAUGAUACGCGAGGAACCUUACCCGGGCUUAAAUUGCAGAUGAAUUACGGUGAAAGCCGUAAGCCGCAAGGCAUCUGUGAAGGUGCUGCAUGGUUGUCGUCAGCUCGUGCCGUGAGGUGUCGGCUUAAGUGCCAUAACGAGCGCAACCCUUGUUGUCAGUUACUAACAGGUUCCGCUGAGGACUCUGACAAGACUGCCAUCGUAAGAUGUGAGGAAGGUGGGGAUGACGUCAAAUCAGCACGGCCCUUACGUCCGGGGCUACACACGUGUUACAAUGGGGGGUACAGAGGGUCGCUACCACGCGAGUGGAUGCCAAUCCCCAAAACCUCUCUCAGUUCGGACUGGAGUCUGCAGCCCGACUCCACGAAGCUGGAUUCGCUAGUAAUCGCGCAUCAGCCACGGCGCGGUGAAUACGUUCCCGGGCCUUGUACACACCGCCCGUCAAGCCAUGGGAGCCGGGGGUACCUGAAGUGCGUAACCGCGAGGAGCGCCCUAGGGUAAAACUGGUGACUGGGGCU